CCUACGGGUGGGCUGCAGUGAGGAAUAUUGGUCAAUGGGCGCGAGCCUGAACCAGCCAAGUCGCGUGAGGGAAGACGGUCCUAUGGAUUGUAAACCUCUUUUGUCGGGGAGCAAAAGACGCCACGCGUGGCGUUCCGAGAGUACCCGAAGAAAAAGCAUCGGCUAACUCCGUGCCAGCAGCCGCGGUAAUACGGAGGAUGCGAGCGUUAUCCGGAUUUAUUGGGUUUAAAGGGUGCGUAGGCUGUAGGAUAAGUUAGAGGUCAAAUGUCGGGGCUUAACCCCGGGCCUGCCUCUGAUACUGUUCGACUAGAGAGCGGAUGCAGCAGGCGGAAUGAGUGGUGUAGCGGUGAAAUGCUUAGAUAUUACUCAGAACACCGAUUGCGCAGGCAGCUUGCUAAUCCGCAUCUGACGCUGAUGCACGAAAGCGUGGGUAGCGAACAGGAUUAGAUACCCGAGUAGUC
rnacentral:rRNA from 1 species